rnacentral:rRNA from 1 species
GACGAACGCUGGCGGCGUGCUUAACACAUGCAAGUCGAACGGAAAGGCCCUGCUUUUGUGGGGUGCUCGAGUGGCGAACGGGUGAGUAACACGUGAGUAACCUGCCCUUGACUUUGGGAUAACUUCAGGAAACUGGGGCUAAUACCGGAUAGGAGCUCCUGCUGCAUGGUGGGGGUUGGAAAGUUUCGGCGGUUGGGGAUGGACUCGCGGCUUAUCAGCUUGUUGGUGGGGUAGUGGCUUACCAAGGCUUUGACGGGUAGCCGGACUGAGAGGGUGACCGGCCACAGUGGGACUGAGAUACGGCCCAGACUCCUACGGGAGGCAGCAGUGGGGAAUAGUGCACAAUGGGCGGAAGCCUGAUGCAGCGACGCCGCGUGCGGGAUGACGGCCGUCGGGGUGUAAACCGCUUUCGCCUGUGACGAAGCGUGAGUGACGGUAAUUUGUAAAGAAGCACCGGCUAACUACGUG